CUUCCCAGCUGCAACAUGCUUUGGCUGUGUCGUCAGUGGCAAAUAAAGAAAAAGAAAACACAAAGAUAGUGAUUAGUGACUAGUCUAUAAAGCAACAAAUUAAACUGCAUUUUAUGAUAAGAGACAAUCACCUCCUGGACCCACUCUGAGGGAAAAUUAAAAGUUAAGUAAAAGUCAAAUUAAACAGAAAACUGCUGAAGAGGAUGGCAUGGCAGAAAGCAAAAGGACACCAGCAACAUCUGAUGAGCAUGAAGCACAUUGGUGAGGCCGCUCAUAGGAAGAAGAAGAACAGUAGCGCCAUCUGUUUUGCGUCAGGUGUGGACUCUGUUUGCAUGGGAGCUGACAACAAAUAUGCUCGUUUGAAAGUACAAUGCAUAUAAUUAAACAAUGAGGAUUAAGGACCUUCUUUUUUCCCAGAAGCAUUGAAAAGCCACCUAAGGAUGAUUUCUGGUUCCGCCAACAAGGCUCAAAGAAGACUCUGCCCUUCCAGCACCAACGAUCAGUCUUUGACCCACAAAAGAGGAGGACAGAGCUCUAACUCCGUAGCCAACAAUCGCUAUUAAAGAAGAGGCUGUUAAGAGCCAUGUUUGUUUUUGUUUUUGCGGCUGUGCAAAUGUAUGUUUUUGUUACAGUUAAACAGGGCAACCAGGUGGGUGCUCCAACAGUUUGCCUACCUAAGACAGUCUGCUUUCCCAGCCAUGCUACACAGUUAAUUACUCCUCAUAAACUAACUGUAAAGAAACAGCUGAACAUUCUAUUUAAUGUGACAUUUAAACAGAUUGAAACAGAGUUUGUGUCACACACCCAGAGUUUGCCCCAGGUGGUGUUUCCUCUGGGUAGUCCAACAUUUCUCCCAGUAAUGAAGGCCAGUGAUCAUGUAGACAGAGAGAGAAUGACAUCCUCUCAGUUGCAGUUAGAAGUCCAAUGUCCAUUUCAAUGAGAAAAGUUCAUUUCAGCUCAACUGUGUAUAACAGUGCUGUCUGAUUCCAAGGUCCUGAGGUUGUGACCCUCAUCUCCAUGUGAGGACAUGAAAGGGCAAGGGGAGGUGAAGGUAUAGCGAGGAGCAACAAGACUGAAAAGAAAGUUAGCCAUUUCAUUUCUAAUACGAUUCCCUCUCUGUUGUACUCAAAGGCAGACUUGCUAACUUGGGAAAAUGAAGUUCCCUUUAGCUCAAUUGGCUUAAAUUGUGCUUUUUGACUCAGAGGCUGCAAGUCUGUGGCUCCUGUUUCCCUGUAACAAUUCAAAGCAGUGGAGCUCUGUUUGAUUUCUCAUAUCUCUAAAGGUUAUGUUCUCUGGAGACUCUAAAGUAGUUUGAGUGUCUGUGUGAUUGUGGUCUGCAGUGAACUGGACGUCUGUCCAGUGCUGCCUUGUGCCUCAGGAUAGUCUACAAUCUUCCAUAACCCUAAACUGAAUGAAGUGGGUUUGAGAAUAUAUAUCAAAUAUGAAAGCCACAAUAUAAUACUUGUGACUGUCUCCUUUUGUUUUACUCUUCUAUUUCUUCUUUCAUUGCAGACUGGUGACAAUAUUGCAUCUCUCACUACGUGUUUAUAAUCCCCAUGGUGCAUAUGGGCUCUAUAUUAGAGUCACUUUGUGAAUUGGAUGACAGCCAUGCAGCCAUUAACAGCCCUCCAACUGUCUGUGAUCCCCACUUCAAAUGCUUAUUAAUGCUAUUAAGAGGGCAGUGUAAAAUAGGAGUUAUUUUUCAUGAAGGUUUGUAAAAUUCUGCCUACUGUGUGGAAUUACAGAGUAAACAGCACCACGCAUGCUGUUUACUCAGUAAUCUGC